GAGGCUUGCUACAUAGCUCUCUUGUAGCACAGGAACCAAAGUGGGCUCCGGGCCGCUUUUCUCUGCAACAGAUUGGGCACCCAGCCUAGAAGGCCAUGAACAGCCUGCUUUUCACGUGCAGUCUAUGGGAAUGACAACAGGAAUACAUGAUGCGGCAAGACAUGUCACCAAGCUCACAGAAAUCAGCAGACUUCAGACCAGAUCACUUAGCAUGCCACCAAUAAUGGGCUGCAUUGCUAUGAUAAAGGCAUCUAAGUUUUAUAUUGACCCCAACAUGAGCACAGAAAAGAGUAAGAGGGAGAUAAAGGUGUACACAGAAGAUUUUCACACUUGGCACAUUUGA
rnacentral:lncRNA from 1 species